UGGCCAAUGAGGAUUAUUUUAUUAAAUAUUAUGGAAUUACCGUCUGAUAAUAUUAUGAUGUGAACCAUUAUCUGAGGCCUCAU
rnacentral:snoRNA from 1 species